GGCGCACGGGUGAGUAACGCGUGGAAACCUACCCCGGGGUGGGGGAUAACCGCUGGAAACGGCGGCUAAUACCGCAUACGCCUUUUAAGGGAAAGAUUUAUCGCCCUGGGAUGGGUCCGCGUUAGAUUAGGUAGUUGGUGGGGUAAAGGCCUACCAAGCCGACGAUCUAUAGCUGGUCUGAGAGGAUGAUCAGCCACACUGGGACUGAGACACGGCCCAGACUCCUACGGGAGGCAGCAGUGGGGAAUCUUGGACAAUGGGGGCAACCCUGAUCCAGCCAUGCCGCGUGAGUGAAGAAGGCCUUAGGGUUGUAAAGCUCUUUCAACGGUGAAGAUGAUGACUGUAGCCGUAGAAGAAGCCCCGGCUAACUCCGUGCCAGCAGCCGCGGUAAUACGGAGGGGGCAAGCGUUGUUCGGAAUUACUGGGCGUAAAGGGCGUGUAGGCGGCUAUUCAAGUCAGGGGUGAAAGGCCUGGGCUCAACCUGGGAACUGCCUUUGAAACUGAAUGGCUUGAGACCGGAAGAGGAUGGCGGAAUUCC
rnacentral:rRNA from 1 species